GCUGACUUCCUGUUCAGGUGUUUCUAAUCACAAUCAUCCUGAGCCUAACCCAGGCACAUGGAACAGUUCAAGGCUGUAGACUGGGGAAAAAAACAAAACUGUCUCAGUUUUGUUUUUAUUAAAGGACACGAGGUUCAGGACAUCUCUGGCACAAUAAAUUAGUUUGAGGAGAGCUGGCGUUCAUUCAUCUCAGGAAGUUGAAGAAAUGGAGCUAAUAAAAAUAAUAAACAUCGGCGCUGGCAUUUUGCAAACCGCCAUAGAAGUCGGCGAUGCCAUGAAUAAAUCAUCCCCACAUCGACAAUGCAUCAUUCAUGUAGUAAAUCUGACAAAAUGUUACGUUCUUCAGAACCCUGGGUUGUACGUUUGCAGGGGUCGCUGCAUUGACCCUUUACCUCCCAGCAUGUCUCCAUCCUCGUCUGGCAGCGCCGCUUUUGCCAAAGCGCCCCACACAGGGCGAGGAUUCUUCGGCGUCUUCAAAUACGAUCUCCUCGAUCGUUCCACGCAGAGGGCCACCGAGCAAAUGGCUGUUUCGUUCAGGGUGCCUUAUAAUAUAAAUCUGAAGUCAAAUGAGUACGCAGUGGGACUCUUUGACGUCGGCAGAGAGUGCAACAGCAAUCUGUAUGCUGAGAUGUCGAAGAAAAAUGGUUCUACAUUCGUGAAGGGACAAGCAAAAGGCCCCUCUCUGACCCACAUGGSUCAAAAUGUUACCAUCAGGGCCACGAUGUCAGAUUGCAGCUCUCCUGUGAUAAAGGUGCAAGUGAGCAAUAAUUAUUAAAUAUUGAUGGGGGAGGGAUUCUCCUAUCAAUGUUAUUUUAAGGAAAAUUUGUUUAGCUGGUUAUGACCCUGCAGGUGCUAGGAGAUAUUGCACGUGUUGCCAAAUUGGAGAAAAAAAACGAGCUUGGAAAGCCACCAAGUGCUAAUUUGACACAAAAAUAUUUGUUAGGGUCAGUUGGAGGAAGUGAACCCAAUGAAACACUCCUGUCACCUUGGUUUGAAUUUUAUCACUUGARCUGUAUAAAGUUACAAAACAAGUAUAGGUUUUAAAUGAUAAUGUUAAAACGCACAUUUUUUGUUGUUUUGCAUGCACUUGUCCUCACAACCACUUCAUGUUGAGGAUUGUUUCCUACUGACAUAUGGGUUGUUUUAUGUGCUUAGCUUGGACUGACCAAAGCUGCCUUUUUUAACUUUUAAUUUUUAUUUUGCUUUUUAUAGUCCUAUUCACUGUUGCCUGUAAAAUCAUUUGAACAAAAAAAGGCAAAUGAAACAUGCAAAAAGCUUGUUCUAGGUCAGAAAUAAAUGAACUUUUCACUACUAUAUUAUGCAGUCAAUCACAUUUCUCUUCAUUCUAAUGUAAAAGCAACAUCAUAGUGCCAAGACAGUAUUUGUGUGUGUGUGUGUGUGUGUGUUUGAUCAGCACAAAACGUAAGGGGAAUUUGUUGAUGCUUGUUAUACGUAUUUUGUCGUAAUGCUUCUUGGUAAUAAAUCUUAAACUGUU